CCUACGGGAGGCAGCAGUGGGGAAUAUUGGACAAUGGGCGAAAGCCUGAUCCAGCCAUGCCGCGUGUGUGAAGAAGGCCUUCGGGUUGUAAAGCACUUUCAGUGGGGAAGAAAGCCUUGGGGCUAAUACCCUCGAGGAAGGACAUCACCCACAGAAGAAGCACCGGCUAACUCCGUGCCAGCAGCCGCGGUAAUACGGAGGGUGCGAGCGUUAAUCGGAAUUACUGGGCGUAAAGCGCGCGUAGGCGGUCUGAUAAGCCGGUUGUGAAAGCCCCGGGCUCAACCUGGGAACGGCAUCCGGAACUGUCAGGCUAGAGUGCAGGAGAGGAAGGUAGAAUUCCCGGUGUAGCGGUGAAAUGCGUAGAGAUCGGGAGGAAUACCAGUGGCGAAGGCGGCCUUCUGGACUGACACUGACGCUGAGGUGCGAAAGCGUGGGCAGCAAACAGGAUUAGAUACCCCGGUAGUC
rnacentral:rRNA from 1 species